UAGGGAAUCUUCGGCAAUGGACGAAAGUCUGACCGAGCAACGCCUCGCGAGUGAAGAAGGUUUUCGGAUCGUAAAACUCUGUUGUUAGAGAAGAACAAGGACGUUAGUAACUGAACGUCCCCUGACGGUAUCUAACUAGAAAGCCACGGCUAACUACGUGCCAGCAGCCGCGGUAAUACGUAGGUGGCACGCGUUGUCCGGAUUUAUUGAGCGUAAAGCGAGCGCAGGCGGUUUCUUAAGUCUGAUGUGAAAGCCCCCGGCUCAACCGGGGAGGGUCAUUGGGAACUGGGAGACUAGAGUGCAGAAGAGGAGAGUGGAAUUCCAUGUGUAGCGGUGAAAUGCGUAGAUAUAUGGAGGAACACCAGUGGCGAAGGCGGCUCUCUGGUCUGUAUCUGACGCUGAGGCUCGAAAGCGUGGGGAGCAAACAGG
rnacentral:rRNA from 1 species